UUUUUUUCCAUAUUUUAAAAUGUAAAGGCCCAGCCAAGAGGAUCAGGAAACCUAGUUUCCACGUUCACAGGCUGGCUCAACUCUGUGAUCCUGGAACCCACGCUGGAGGGAAUUUAAGGAAUUACAGCUGCCCCGUGGUGGGGAGGGUUGCAAAGGCACAGUCGCAUUUCCUGGGCACCUGGGACCAAAACUGCGCGACGGACAGGACUGAACCUUUGCCGGAGGACGGCCGUCCCAUGACGACCGUCAGAGCCCUGACUCCAGGACCCCUCCCGCCACCGCUGCACCUACACCUCGUGGGUGACCCGCCCCCCUUCCUGAGGCCCCUGGGUGCCACGGCAGGUGCUGACACCCACAGGGCAGGUGGAGGCCCUCUGCUUGGCUCUGGCCACUGCUGCUCGCCACCUGCCUGCCUGACACCAGUGCGACAGCUCGGCUGGACCCCACCCAUCCUGGGGUGACCCUGGCCAGACUCAUCAGCUUCUGGAACGUGGCUCUGGCCCCUGCCUCCCCGCCUGAGGAGCACCCUGGCGCUGCCUGGUUCUGGCAUUGCCCAUAAAUGAAGAAAUCAGUCUGGUCCCAGGUCACCCUGAGCCACAGAUGACAUAGCCGGGCUGAGGGUCACACAUCCUGAAGGUGCCAUGAGGGACCUUGGCCAGUGUCAUAUCUGGGUCCCCGUCGUUUCACAAACUGAGGACUUCCUGAUGAAGGUCAGACGGGCGUGUGUGGGCAUCUGCUGACACUGUGCGCCCAACCCCAGGAGGGACCCGCCUCCGAGGUGCUGCUGUCACUGAAGGCGCCAGCCAGGAGCACAGCAUCUGUGGACUCAGGAAGCAGGUGCCCUGCCCAGGGCAGUGGGCCUGGUCCCCUGUGCUGAGGGCCCAGGGAGGACAGAAACGGGGGAGGAUGAAGUCACUCCCCACCUGAAGUGGGCGUCCACCUCCUCCCGCCUGGACGCUGGUGCAUCCAGAGACCCUGGAGCCGGUUCUCUCAGCCUUUCGGGUGUAACUGUCCCCUGAGGUUUCAGGAGCCUGUAGGUCUGGGAGACGGGUCACCACGUCACUCGAAUGGCCCCCUGUUGGUCCUGACGUGGUCUGCCCAUCAGCAGCCAAGAACCAGCUGAGAAACGCGGCCCUCUCUUCCCAGAGAGCGAAACGCUAAUUCCAUUUUAUGUGUUUUUGCCUGGACGGCAAGGCCGACUCCUGACUGCAGGGCCUCUUUCCGGUAAGACCUCAAACCAAGAGGAAACUUCCUAAGUCAGUCAUCAGAAGACUGGACUUCAGCGUUAGUCCCACCCGGGGCUCCAAAGGAGAAACACUAAGGAAACGGACCCUCUCUCCACACACGUCAGGACCCCGGCCGCCCUGGUCCCUCACUGGUUUAGGGCGUCACGUCUGUCACGGGAUCGUUAGGCCUCCUCUGCCAGGUCAGCUCCCGGGCAUCAAAAAUCUCGACUCCACGUCCUGACCGCCGCCGCCGCCGCGGAGCUGCUUCCUGCCGACGGUUCGGAGGCAGGGCUGAGUCUGCACGCGGGGCGGCCGCGUCUCCCUCUAGCGGCUCUUCCUAAAGAGCCGCGUGUUAAAAAGUGAGUUGUGUAAACCAAGCACUUAUUGCUCAUUGAUCGAUGUUACACGUUCAACUUCCACCUUCAGUAUCAUUUUUUUAAUAACCCAGGCUCUUGGCUGUGAACAAUUAGACAUUAAAGGAACCCUUUGACCAAUUACGUCACAAACAAAGAAGCAUUUUGCAACGUACACAAUACACCACAAAAAGUUCCACCUCUGAUUUCUAAACACCUUGAGGUUAAUUCUGGGAGACAGCAGGAGGUCCACAGCCCUUUCCUCCGGCGUGGGGGUGCCUGGGGAGGCAGGGCUCCAGACCCCAUGCAUGAGCGGGCGCUCCAGGGCCUCUCCCACCUUCCCCAAGAAGGCGCCUGGCAACCCCAGCACCUGCCACAGUCACAGAACAGGCGUCUGUCCUUGUGGACGUGGACCAGAUUCUCAUGGUGCUUCUGGCCCUCAAACUGUGACACAUUCCAAGAAAAACACAGGCGUAUCCUGAUGGUGGCCAUUUGUAAGUUUUCACUGACCUCCCACUCAUGAAGAGGUGCACUGAGACCCACUGAGGCAUCUGUGAUGCUAAACCCCACCGCGCGGGAAGCCGGAUGUGGGCUUUCAACUCCAGCGUGAGGAAGCACAAGGCCUGGGCCCCACUGUGCCAGGCGCGGGCACCACCACACACACAUCACGUCCCGAGGACGAAGCACUUCCCACUGCAAGGUGAUGGGCAGGUGUGCACGCUGCGUGAGCAAGCUCACCUCGACUGAGGCCAGCACCCCCAGCCCAGGGCGAGCCGCUCUCCGUCUCUACAAACGUCCACACUGUACUGCGAUUAUCACACAAAUCUGAGCCUAAGUCUCCCACCCGCAAAACAGAACACACUGUGGGGAAUAGUUCCGCACUCACUCCGGCUGAACUAUUAAAACAAGCAGCACUGCGCACCCAGCACAGAGGCUGGCACUUCCAAAGCAGCUGAUGACCAUCGCUGUGGGGGGGUACCUGUUGCUGUGGGGGGUACCCAUCGCUGUGGGGGGUACCCAUCACUGUGGGGGGUACCCAUCACUGUGGGGGGGUACCUAUCGCUGUGGGGGGUUCACCCCGGGUCCUCAUCCCAGUACCUUACUCACUUCUCUUCCUCGUCACCGAGGCAUCCAAGAAGCAACGUAAACUGGAGACAUUCUUUCCAUAAGAAGACAGAUUUUCAGUUUGGAGAACCCAGCACAUAACAUCCACGGUCUGUGCCUGACCAGGAACAACCGCCAAAGUGUGCAUUAAAUAAUCCUAAGAUGUAUGGACCCAGAACUGCCAAAGCAGUGCGGAGGGAAAAGAGCAAAGCAGGAGGCAUAACCCUCCCAGGCCUCGGACAACAGGGCAAAGCUACCGUGCUGCAGACAGUGUGGUAGUGGCACAAAAACAGAGGGGCGGGACAGAGUCGAGCCCAGAAGUAGCCCCACACGUUCACGGUCAAUUAAUCUUCGACAGAGGAAGCAAGAAUAUACAACGGAGAAAAGACAGGCUCUUCAGCAGGUGUGCUGGGAGAGCUGGCCAGCCAUGCAAAAUCGGUGAAGCUGGAACACCCCCUCACACCAUGCCCAAAAAUAGACCCCAAAUGGCUUCAAGACUGAAACAUAAGACAAGACACCAUCCAACUCCCAGAAGAGAACACAGGCAACACAUUCUCUGACUUCAACCGUACAAAUGUUUUCUUAGGUUAGGCUCUCGAAGCAACAGAAAGAAAACCAAAAACAAACAAAUGGGCCCUAAUGAAACUUAGAAGCUUUUGUACAGCAAAGGAAACCAUAAACAGAAAGACAGACCAUGAGCUGGGAGAAAAUAUUUGCAAAUUUUGCCACUGACAAAGGCUUAAUUUUCAAAAUAUACGAAUAGCUCUUACAACUCAACAACAGCAACAAAAACAAACAAACAAACAACCCAGUCAAAAAAUGGGCAGAAGACCUGAAGAGACAUUUCUCCAAAGAAGACGCAGAGACGGCCAACAGGCACACGAAACGACGCUCGGCAUCACCGGCUGUUAGAGAAAAACGCAGACCAAAACUGCAGUGGAGCACCACCUCACACCAGCAAGCGUGGCCAUCACCAAAAUCUACAACCAAACGCUGGAGAAGGAGUGGAGAAAAGGGGACCCUCCUGCACUGAGGGGGGAACGUAAAUUGGUACAAUCACUCUGGAGAACAGUACGGAGGCUUUUAAAAACUAAAAAUAGAGUUACCGUAUUAGCAGCAAUCCCACUCCUGGGCAUGUAUUUGGAGAAAACCAUAAUUCAAAAAGAUACAGGCACCCCAAUGUUCACCGCAGCACUAGUCACAACAGCCAAGACACGGAAGCAACCCCAGUGUUCACCAAGAGACGGAUGGAUACAGAAGAUGUGGCACAUGUUACAGGCUGGAAUAUCACUCGGCCACAAAAAAGAAUGAAACAGUACCAUUUGCAGCAACAUGGACGGGCCUAGAGAUUAGUGAAGGAAGUCAGAGAAGGACAAAUACCAUGUGGUAUCACUUAUAUGUCGAAUCUCAAAUACGGCAUAGAUGAACUUAACUGUGAAACAGAAGCAGACUCACAGGGAGUUCCCAUCGUGGCGCAGUGGUUAACGAAUCCAACUAGGAACCAUGAGGUUGCGGGUUCGGUCCCUGCCCUUGCUCAGUGGGUUGAUGAUCCGGCGUUGCCGUGAGCUGUGGUGUAGGGCAUGGCAACACCAGAUCCUUAACCCACUGAGUGAGGCCAGGGAUCGAACCUGGGUCAGAUUCAAUAACCACUGAGCCACGACAGGAACUCCAGGUUUUCUACAUAUAGUAUCAUGUCAUCUGCAUAGAAUGACAGAUUUACCUCUUCUCUCCCACUUUGGAUACCUUUCAUUUCUUUCGUUUGUCUGAUAGCUGUGGCUAGGACUUCCAAUACUCUGGAAUAAAAGUGGUGAGAGUGGGCGUCCUUGUCCUGUUCCAGAUUUUAGCAGGAAGGCUUUCAGCUUGUCUCCAUUGAGUUUUAUAUUGGCUGUGGGUUUGCCGUAAAUGGCUUUUAUCACGUUAAGGUAUGUUCCCUCUGCACGCACUUCAGUAAGAGUUUUUAUCUUGAAUGGAUGCCGGAUUUUGUUGGAUGCUUUUUCUGCAUCUGUUGAGAUGAACGUGUGGUUUUGGACUUUUCUUUUGUUAAUGUGGUGUGUGACGCUGAUUGACUUGCAUAUAUUAAGCCAUCCUUGUGAACUUGGGAUGGAUCCACUUGGUCGUGGUGUGGGAUCUUUUUUAUGUGUUGUUGGAUUUGGUUGGCUAAUACUUUGUUGAGAACUUUUGCGUCUGUACUCAUUGAAGAUAUUGGCCUAUAAUUUUCUUUUUUGGUGGUAUCUUUGGUUUUGGUGUUAGGGUGAUGGUGGCUUCAUAGACUGUCUCUGGCUGUGUUCCUUCUUCUUCGGCCUUUUGGAAAAGUUUAAGGAGGAUGGGUAUAAGUUCCUCUUUGUAUGUUUGGUAGAAUUUGCCUGUGAAGCCAUCUGGUCUUGGACUUUGGUUUGUAGAGAGUAUUUUUAUGACAUAUUCAAUGUCAUUUCUAGUGAUUGGUCUGUUCAGUUGAUCUGUUUCUUCUUGAUUCAGUUUGGGUGGGCGGUAAGUCUCUAGAAAGCUGUCCAUUUUUCCAUCAGCAGUUAAAUAUCUCAAUGGAUACAUCUGAAGAUAAACCCUACAUGUCCACAACCCAAAGCUGACCCCACUCGCUCUGGAGCCCCACUGGACCAGGCCCAUGUGGUGCACAGCUGUGCUUCCUGGCAGCCCCUCGGGUCUGAGCCACUCUGUGGGGCCCGGUACCCCCCGGGAGCUGUUAGGAUUCCACCUUCAUUUUCAGAGCUUCCUCUCGGCUGUAGGCGUCGUGAGAGCAAUUUCAUCAGUCCUGGAAUAAUCUGCUUCCACGAGACCCACAGGUCUUCCCUUGACAGCUGAGCCACGUCACCGAGGAGCACACUACUUUUGAACCACGUCUAGUAACUUAUUCCAAGGGGCUCCAAACAUCCAUGUGUGCAAAGGGAUACACUGUAUCUCUCAGUUAAAAUUUACGUAAAAAGAGAAGACUAGUCCUGGACUCUGC
rnacentral:lncRNA from 1 species